rnacentral:rRNA from 1 species
GCUACGGGGGGCAGCAGUGAGGAAUAUUGGUCAAUGGGCGUAAGCCUGAACCAGCCAAGUCGCGUGAGGGAUGAAGGUUCUAUGGAUCGUAAACCUCUUUUAUAAGGGAAUAAAGUGCGGGACGUGUCCCGUUUUGUAUGUACCUUAUGAAUAAGGAUCGGCUAACUCCGUGCCAGCAGCCGCGGUAAUACGGAGGAUGCGAGCGUUAUCCGGAUUUAUUGGGUUUAAAGGGUGCGUAGGCGGGCAUUUAAGCCGGCGGUCAAAUGUCGGGGCUCAACCCCGGCCUGCCGUCGGAACUGGGUGCCUUGAGUGGGCGAGAAGUAUGCGGAAUGCGUGGUGUAGCGGUGAAAUGCAUAGAUAUCACGCAGAACCCCGAUUGCGAAGGCAGCAUACCGGCGCCCUACUGACGCUGAGGCACGAAAGUGCGGGUAUCGAACAGGAUUAGAUACCCCAGUAGUC